UGCGUAUCGAAUUCGUUUCGUAGCGUCCCUCAUCCAAGAUCUUCCCAUCAAAUGCAAUGCUCAUCUUAGUUUCCCUAUUUCUAAUAGCAUGGAUUGCACCAACCUCAACUGAGACUUCAUGAACAGAUGCAAAGGAUUUCGGCGAAAAGGGUUCAAGUUCUUUUGGAGCAUGCAUGUAUUGGAUACAAAAGAUAAAAUAAUAAUAAAUGGAAAUAAAAGCUGUUGUACUAAGGGCUGACCAAUUAUUAGCAGCCACCUACAUUUGGAAAUAUUUCUUCUUGUAUUCGGAACACAAUGUAGUACAACAUACGUCAUAAUAUAAGUGAAAGUACAAUAAAAAUAUACUCUAAAAUUGAGACAUAUCAAUCA